rnacentral:rRNA from 1 species
CAGCAGCCGCGGGAAUACGGAGGGUGCAAGCGUUAAUCGGAAUUACUGGGCGUAAAGCGCACGCAGGCGGUCUGACAAGUCAGAUGUGAAAUCCCCGAGCUUAACUUGGGAACUGCAUUUGAAACUGGCAAGCUAGAGUCUUGUAGAGGGGGGUAGAAUUCCAGGUGUAGCGGUGAAAUGCGUAGAGAUCUGGAGGAAUACCGGUGGCGAAGGCGGCCCCCUGGACAAAGACUGACGCUCAGGUGCGAAAGCGUGGGGAGCAAACAGGAUUAGAUACCCCGGUAGUCCCUGUCUCUUAUAC